rnacentral:rRNA from 1 species
GACCUCAUGCUCCUGGAGCGGCCGAUAUCUGAUUAGCUAGUUGGUAGGGUAAAAGCCUACCAAGGCAUCGAUCAGUAGCUGGUCUGAGAGGACGACCAGCCACACUGGAACUGAGACACGGUCCAGACUCCUACGGGAGGCAGCAGUGGGGAAUUUUGGACAAUGGGCGCAAGCCUGAUCCAGCAAUGCCGCGUGAGUGAAGAAGGCCUUCGGGUUGUAAAGCUCUUUUGUCAGGGAAGAAAGCGG